GUAGUAGUAUGGUAGUAGGGGCCAGGCGGCGGUAGUAGUAGUAGUAUGGUAGUAGGUGCCAGGCGGUAGUAGUAGUAUGGUAGUAGGGACCAGGCGGUAGUAGUAGUAGUAUGGUAGUAGGUGCCAGGCGGUAGUAGUAGUAUGGUAGUAGGGGCCAGGCGGUAGUAGUAGUAUGGUAGUAGGUGCCAGGCGGUAGUAGUAGUAGUAUGGUAGUAGGUGCCAGGCGGUAGUAGUAGUAUGGUAGUAGGUGCCAGGCGGUAGUAGUAGUAGUAUGGUAGUAGGGGCCAGGCGGUAGUAGUAUGGUAGUAGGGGCCAGGCGGUAGUAGUAUGGUAGUAGGGGCCAGGCGGUAGUAGUAUGGUAGUAGGGGCCAGGAGGUAGUAGUAGUAUGGUAGUAGGGGCCAGGCGGUAGUAGUAGUAGUAUGGUAGUAGGGGCCAGGCGGUAGUAGUAUGGUAGUAGGGGCCAGGCGGUAGUAGUAUGGUAGUAGGGCCAGGCGGUAGUAGUAUGGUAGUAGGGGCCAGGCGGUAGUAGUAUGGUAGUAGGGGCCAGGCGGUAGUAGUAUGGUAGUAGGGGCCAGGCGGCGGUAGUAGUAUGGUAGUAGGUGCCAGGCGCACCGGUUUAAGUGUAUCUAGAACUGUAACACCACUGGGUUUUUCACGUUCAACAGUUUCCCGUGUUUAUC
ensembl:lncRNA